UUCCAAAAAUAGCUUAUUUUUUAAAACACGGGUAAACAGUGGUGCGUUUAAUGAAUUUUUCAAUAACCCAAAAUUGCCCUCCUUUCCCUCUUGCCUUUAGCUCUCGAAUACCCGAACCCCAAACCACUAUUUCGUUCUCUCAUUCUCUCGUUCCAAAAACCAGUGAUCUCUCUCAUUCUCUCGUUCUCUCAUUCUCUCGUUCUCUCGUUCUCUCGUUCUCUCGUUCUCCAAGUUUCUCCAAGUUCCCUUGCCUAUGGAGUUUUCAAUCCCUGCGCUCCUCUCUUUUCCCUUUGAAAAUCAUAGUUUCAUUUCAAUCAUCUUCACCCAAACGCUUAUUGCCCCUCACUGCAACUCCUUUAAGAUCUCUAUCUCUGAGCAGUUCGUCUCCAAUCCAACCAAUCGCGCGCGUUCGCACUCCCUCUCAAACCUGUGAGAUUUCUCUCUCGUUUUCUCCAUCGCUUUACGCUGAUUUUUUUAGUUGAUUCUCUGUAAUUCGUUUGUUAAUUGUUGAAUUGGUUGUUGAUUAUAUUUUUUUUUUUGCAUGUUUGUUUUCUGAGAAAUUGAUGAAAUUAGGAUGGAAAUUGGAAAGUCAUUUAUUUGGUCAAAAUAGUUGAAAAUUCACAUUUACUUUUGUAUAUUUGGGUCGUUUGGUGAAUUGGGUUGUGUUUGUUUUGCUGUUUUGGGUCUUGAUAUGUUAGCAGAAUUGGAAAAUUAUAUGUUUGUAUUGACAUUGAAUUUGCAUGUUGCUACUUCAGUUGACUGGUUUGAUCAAUUCCCUGCUGAUACUUUUUUGUUGUUGUUGUAUUGCCUCACUUGCUAUACUUCCUUUGUUUUUUACAUGCUGCAUACUUCAAUUGACUGGUUUUAAUCAAAACUAUGUUGCUUAUUCCUCGAUUUAAAUUGAUUAAAUGGAGAUUGACUGGAAAAUUUAGACUGCAUUGUACACAUUGUUUCGGGUAUUUUUAGCAAAUUCAGUAUAUUUUCUUGGAGUUUGUCAUUCACAUAAGAUGCUUCAUUCAAGAAAAUUGGAAUUUCCCAAAUCUUCAUUAGUCGUUGUUUCCUUUGCAUAACUUUAAUAAAUAAGGAUUUGAUUUUCUUGGAUGUCUACUUUUGAGUUGAAAUUUUCCAUAUAUGAAGCAUUACUAGACCAAAAACAGCACCAUGUCGUGAAGAAAUUAGGGUUGUUUCCUUUUUGAGGAUUUAAGAAUUGCUAAUUUAUUUUUGUAUGCUAUCUUUUGAUGUUAGUAUUUUUUUAGCUGUUAUAACCUUAUGUUUCUUCAUUCUUAUUUUGUGGUGAUGGAAACCUACUUUUCAUGUUGAGACUUGAGAUAUUAAUGCGUCUUCAAUUGCUUAGUUUCUUGCUUAUCCUUGUGAAUUUGCAUUUGGUUUUGAUAUCUUACAGAAGCAUAAAUAGGCUUUUUGGUAAUUAGGAAAAGUUAUCAGUAAUAGUCGGUGAAAUCCUAAAACUGGGUCAUUUUAUGAGAUGUCUAAAGUAUUUCUUCAUUAGUAUUGACGUAGGUUAGUUUGAAGGAUACAAUAAUGCUAUUUUGUUGGUUAUUGUUAAAAUUAGUACUUUUUCUGGGACUACAAAAUUUGUAAUGAAAUUUUUUGGUUAUUUCUUGGUUAUAUUACAAUAUCAUUUGUUCUUGUUUUAAUAUAUAUAUAUAUAUAUAUAUGUAUAUGUAUAUAUACAAAUCAGUAGUUAGUAUCGAUGGCAAAAAAGGAGGCAUCUUCGUCAAAUCCUGUAGCUACAUGGAAUGCCCACAAUACAUCUAUAUUUUGUGAUGAUUGCAUCAAGGAGGUUGAGGCCGGACAUCGUCCGAGCACUCACUUUGACAAAGAUGGAUAUGCAAAUAUUAAAGCUAACUUCAAGGCAGAGACAGGGCAUGAUUAUAAAAGAAAGCAACUGAAAAAUAAGUGGGAUGCACUUAAAAAUGAGUGGAAGUUGUGGAAAGAGCUAGUUGGUAAAGAAACCGGCCUAGGGUGGAAUUCAAGCAAAGGUACCGUUGAUGCCUCUGAGGAGUGGUGGAAUAAUAAAAUUCAGAUGAACAAAGAAUAUGGAAAAUUGCAAAAAAAAAGGCAUUAGUCCUGAGAUGGAAGACAAGUUAGAUAUGAUGUUCUCGAGUACAGUUGCUACCGGUGAACCUACCUGGGCACCUUCAUCUAGAGUACUAUCACCAGAGUCAAGAGAGGAAUCUGUAUAACAAAUUGAUUCAUAUGAUGAGGAAGAAACUGAGACUAUGCAAGAUCUAAGGCAAGCAAGUAGGAAGGGAAAAAAAGAGCGGCUAACCAAGGAGAAUUGCGAAAGAAGAAGGUUGAUAAGAAAGGGAAAAAAUUAGAGGUGUUGCAAAACUUUGUGGUCAAAUUGACCGUCUUGUUAAAGCGUAUGAAACUAGGAGUUCUACAAACUCAUUGAUGAGGUCGCUGCAUAUAGGUAGUAGUAUUUCGGAAGUGUUAGCGGUUGUUGCACAAUUGCUUGGUUGUGAGCCACCUAGCGAGUUAUGGUUGUUUGCUACAUGUUUAUUUUAUUUUGCAAAGAAGCGAGAGGUGUUUACCAUGAUCCAAGAUCCUGAAGUCCAAUUGACUUGGUUGAAAUAUAUGUUCAACAAAGAACAAUAAGAAGCUAUAACUAUGAAUUAGGACUUUGUGUGGUUUGUACUUUGCAUUAAGACUAUAUGUUGAAUGUUGCUUGUAUUUUGUGUUUAUUGAAUGUUGGAUUAUAAUUUCUUGUUAAACAUUGGAUUGACUUGUUU